rnacentral:tRNA from 1 species
GGGCCUGUAGCUCAGGUGGUUAGAGCGCACGCCUGAUAAGCGUGAGGUCGGAGGUUCAAGUCCUCCCAGGCCCA